rnacentral:tRNA from 1 species
AAGAAAUUAGCUCAAUUGGUAGAGCAGUCGUUUUACACACGAAUGGUUAUUUGUUCAAGUCAAAUAUUUCUUA